ensembl:rRNA 5S_rRNA 5S ribosomal RNA
GCCAGCAGCCAUAUUACCCUGCAACUCACAACUGGCAACCCACUGAAGCUAAGCAGGUGUGAGCCUGGUCAGUACCUGGAUGGGAGACCUCCUGGGAAAAACUAAGGUUGCUGCUGGAA